CUAUUUGUUUUGUUUGCAGGCUGAUUUGGUUGCUUAGUGGAUUGCUAAAAAUUGUUUUCAAGAUUGCCGUGUUUGUUUUUUCUCGACAUCGUUUCCCCGAAUCCUAAUGCUGAGAAAGCAGUAGUGCCGAAGGAAGAGAUCUUGGAUUUUGAGUAGUCACCUGAGCCCUCGAACGCAAGGCAAUUUGAGAACUGAUCAGUACCAUCAAAGCUCCAAUAUGUGCAUUGCAGAUUAGAAGUCCGGAACCUUGUUGGAGACUCUAAAACAGGUUAAGAAUUUAAUAGCUUGAUUUGGUUAUUGUGAAUUGGCUACUGCAAAUCUUUCUGAUCAACUGGUUCCACAACUUGGUCAGCUUUUAAAUCUGCAAUACUUGUAAGUCAUCUUGACAUGCAGGGCAAGUUGUCUGACUGUAUUUUUUUUUUUUUUUUUUUUUGUGUGUGUUGCAUGAGUUAGUGCCAGGAUAUGUCCACACAAGAAAUAGACUUCACUACCCAUAAGAAAUUCUUAGGCUGCUUGUAAAACCCCCACCUCCUUGAUUAAUUAUAGUUGGGUCCUUUUCUCAUUUGAAGUUCAUCUCUGCAUGUAAAAACCAAAGUUUGUUGGGAACUUUUAUUUUAUAUGUAAUUAUUUGGAUAUGUAAUUAAUCUUUUGGCAACGAACUUAA